UUACGGCCAUAUUACGUUAAAACUCCGGUUCCCGUAAGAUCAUCGAAGUUAAGCUACGUCGAGCCUGGUCAGUACGUAGAUAGGUUAACAAUUGGGAAUAGCAGGUGCUGUAA